AGACGACACAAGUGACGACGACGCAAGAGACGACGACACAAGUGACGACGACGCAAGUGACGACGACACAAGUGGUUCAAGCAACUCGUCACACGGCAAUGAGCAACCUACCUGGAGGAGUGAAUUGCACACCCUGACUAUCAAGUCAUUUGAGUCAGCAGUAGGACCAACAGUGGACAUCUCAGAGACGCCAGAAGAAGUGUAACUGCUAUUUUUUAACAAUGGUCUGCAGGGACACAUUGUGUGUGAGAGCAACAACUACGCUAGACAUAUAAUGGGAGAGGAGGCAUACCGAACGUGGACUCAACUCACAGUUGAAGAGCUCCGGGCCUUCUUUGGAUUCUCCAUCCUCAUGGGACUCAAUCACCUGCCAUCAAUCAAUGACUAUUGGAGCCGAGACCAUCACUACCAUGCACUAUGCACCCAUCGCCGAUGUAAUCUCAAGGCAGAGAUUCCGUGAUAUCUCCCGGUAUCUGCACUUUGUGGACAACGACCAUCUUGUUCCACAAGGUGAUCCCUCGUACGAUCGGUUAGGGAAGAUCCGCCCCCUCAUUGAGCACCUGGGUGAGAGGUUGGAAGCUUUGUACAACCCUACACAGAAUGUAGCAGUGGACGAAGCAAUGAUUAAGUUUCAGGGGCAGUCUUCCCUAAAGCAAUAUAUGCCUAUGAAACCGAUCAAACGGGGGAUCAAGGUGUGGGUAUUGGCAGAUAGUGCUAACGGCUAUUUCCACAAAUUUGACAUAUACACGGGGAAGCAAAAGAAGAGACAGGUUGGACUUGGUGAGUAUGUUGUCAAAACACUUACCGACGGGCUGAAGAAGAAAAAUCACCACGUUUUCUUUGACAACUUUUUUACGAGCCCCAAACUUCUUGAAGAUAUGGAGAAGGAUGGGUGUGGUGUAGGUUUACCACCAGGACUGAAGAAACAUGGUUUGAAGAAGAGGUACUAUUGUGCGUGUGUGUGUAUGUGUAUGCUUUUGCGAGUGUGUGUGUGUGUGUGUGUGUGUGUGUGUGUGUGUGUGUGUGUGUGUGUGGUGUGCAUGUGUGUGUGUGUGUGUGGUGUGUGGUGUGUGUGACUGUGCUAACUAAAAUUAUUUAUCUCACCUUUGACAGAGGAGAAUCCAAGAUAUUCCAGAAGGGACCACUGGUGGCGUGUGCAUGGCACGACAGCAAGGAGCUCACGGUCCUCUCAACGACGUCGCAACCAGUAGCAACGGGAUCCGUUCUCAGGCGACAGAGAGACGGUUUAAGAAUGCCUGUGAGUUGCCCUGAUAGCAUAAUAAUCUACAACAAGCACAUGGAAGGUGUGGACAGAGGGGACCAAAUACGUGGAUAUUAUUCCUGUCGAACAAGAAGUCGGAAGUUCUACAAGUAUAUAUUUUAUUUCCUAUUUGAUGUUUCUAUCAUAUUUUACACACUAAUUAUACCUCCAAGCCGAAUCAAAACGUAAAAGACUUCCGCCUCCAACUGGCCAAGGAGCUGAUUGGCACGUACUAUUCAAGGAGACUCCCAGGCCGCUCAAGUAGAGUCCAGCGCCCUCUUCAGCUCCAACACUUUCCUCUCAAAAUGUGCCUGCAACCACCUGCAAAGAGAUGUAAACGGGGAUGGUGUGCGUUCUGCUGGAAGGACUCCAACAAGAGGACUGACAGAUGUAACGAGUGUGGUGUCUGGCUCUGCCAUGGUGGAAACCCAACAUCAGACUGUUUCUAUUUGUGGCAUAAGAACUUGUAAAUAUUAUAAUUAUUAUCUUAUUUACUGUUUAUGAUAAUUAUUAUUUAUUAGUACGGCUUCAUUAUAGUCACAUGAUGUACGCUAAUGAUACACACUAAUCAUUAUAAUUA